AAAUUUGGAGCAGCAGAGUGAAAGUCUGUCUCCUCAUUGAUCACUGGAGUGGACUUGGCUGAUUUGGCUGGCUCGGUGACUUUUUCAUCUAUCCUCACAUCUUUCUGCAAAGCUCAAAAAGCUUCAUGCCGAGACAAGGAGUAUCAUGCUCUGUCUAUUUAGAGAGCUCUCAAGUGUGUUUGGGUGGGCUUGGGCUAGACAUCCCUGGAGAGAACCCAACGGAGUAGUCUCAUUCCAUUUUCUCAACCGUCUGUGAUACAGCUGUUUGCUAUCAUUUCUUGUC
rnacentral:sRNA from 1 species